CAUAGCUUAAGAAUCAUCCAUGUGUCCCGCAGAAAUUAUUUGAAUAAGUACAAUACCUGUAAAUAUUAGAUUACAAUAGACAUGUUUAGAUCAA
rnacentral:rRNA from 1 species